rnacentral:lncRNA from 1 species
GGCAGAUUCUUUUAAACACGGAUUUGGCUUAUUUCUUUCAUUUUUUUCAUUUGGCUUGGAUUAUUUUGGAGAGAAUUUCAAGGGGGAUUUCAUCAAGCAUCAAAGGUGAGUUAUUUCUACUUAUUUCCAAGUUAAAUACAUGGAUUAGAGCUGAAAACUCAAGUAAAUUAUGGACAAAAAUGGUGGUUUAGGGCUUGAAACUUAAGAGAAUUAAAUGGUGAUUUGAAAGGUCAAAUGAACUCCGAUUUUUGUGAAUUUGGUAUGUAUAGACUCGUGGCGAGAUAAGGGUCGUAUUGAUGUAAAAAUUUCUGAAUUUUGAGACGUCGGCCCGGGGCUCGGGUUUUGCUAAUUUCGGGAUUUUCGACAUUUUUCGAGUCUUUUCGAUUGGAUUAUAUUCCCUUAGCCUAUUGUAACGUAUUUGUUGUGGUUUUGACUAGAUUCGACGCACGAAGAGGUCGAUUCAAGAGGAAAGGGCAUUGCGGACUAGUCUACGACCGGUUAGAGGUGAGUAAUACUGGUAAAUGAUAUCCUGAGGGUUUGAAACCCCGGACUUUCACAUCGUAACACUAUAUUGAGGCGUGACACGCACUCCAUGGCGAGUGCGGGGUUGGAUACUAUUGGGGGAUUA